CUUGCAAAAUGCACAGAAGGCACAGGCCCCAGCCCACCUGGAACUUUCAAGGGAGUUGGGGAGGCUACAAACCCAGACAGCAAACAACAAGGCAGAACCUCCCUUAGGUGCAUUUAGUGAGAAGGAGGGAGGAGACAGAGAAGCAUCAACCCUGAGAGCCAGUACCAUGAGAAAAGAGAGAAGAGGCCCAAGAACCCUCAACACCGGGCUAUGUGGAAAAUGAACACAAAAUCAGGAGAGCAGGAUCAACAGGAGCCAGGCCAAAAAUGCUUGAAGACGCAGCCUCCUUGGAAACAGGAGCUGGCCUUCCACAUAACCUCUCUGAAGGGGAGAGGCCACUUGGGGACAAGGGUGUUGCCAAGGGCUUGUCCCAAAGUGGGAAUGCCACAGGAGGGCCACCCUGGCUGCCAGGAAUAUGGCCCUUCUCUUCAAGACCCUGCCAGCCCCUCUGCCAUCCCUGACCAUCCUAGACAGAAAGAGCACAGUAAAAGAUGAACAUGGGUGGCAGCUGGACGGGAAAGCACAGGCUUUUCUGCCUCCAUGAUUGCUAGUAACCUGUACGUCCUGAACUUUCUUCAAGAAACAAGUAUGACCCGAGACUUCGAAUUCUGCGAUGUGUACUUUACAAAGAAAAAGUACAAUUUAGCCCUCUUUCCUAACUAUUAAACAAGAAAAAAGAGUGCA